rnacentral:lncRNA from 10 species
GGAUCUACUAUCAGAGCAUUCGUAAAUGUCAUAUUUGGGGGCUCUUGUGAAAUAAAAGCGAGAGGAAACCAGACCAGUGUGUCUUCAUGCCAGAGCCAGAACUUUCUAUAGGGUGGGGCUGAAUGAGGAAGCCAAAUACUUCUGUCCCCUUCCUUGGCUCACAUCAGAAAGUAUUUUUAUUUGGUUACAUACACAUUUUCUUUCUUCCCUUGGUCAUGAAUCAGAACAUUUUAUAGCUAAGAGGAGUUUUAGGGAUAUUCUAGUUGCUUCUCAUUUUACAGACAGAGCAGGUCCUGGAGCCUAGUGGUACCCUUGUUUCCUGACUCAGACGCUGGUUCAAAGAGUCGCUGAGGCCAGGCCUGGUGGCUCAUGCCUGUAAUCCCAGCACUUUGGGAGGCCGAGGUGGGCGGAUCACCUGAGGUCAGGAGUUCGAGACCAGCCUGGUCAAUAUGGCGAAACCCCGUCUCUACUAAAAAUACAAAAAUUAGCCAAGUGUUGUAGCGCAUGCCUGUAAUCCCAGCUACUCAGGAGACUGAGACAGGAGAAUGGCUUGAACCUGGGAGGCAGAGGUUGCAGUGAGCCGAGAUCACACCACUGCACUGUAGCCUGGGCAAGAGUGAGACCCUGUCUCAAAAAACUAAACAAAACAAAACAAAGAACAAAGAGUCACUGAGCUCAACCGAAGGGCAGUCCUGAACCUCUCUGAUAGUCCUUGCACACGGUACCCUCCACAGGGCAUGGUGGUACAGAAGAGCUUUCCUCCUUGCACUUUGUUGAACUGUCUCUUUUUGCAGGAGGCACCUGGCUCGCCCAGGUUCAGCCCCAGGGACUGAAUGCCAACAGGCUGAGCUCAGGAAGGGACCUUCAGUCUGUGGCAAAGGUGGGAAGACAACCAUGAUUGAUAGAGUCCAGCCGCGCGCACAGCGAUUUCACAUUAUCGCAUCGCCAUCUUCACGGCAAUCUUUGGAAGGAGGCAUCUUCUUCCCAUCCUCAACCAAGGCAAAUGCAGCUGAGAAGCGUGAGCAGCUCCCCAGAUGUAUCCAGGCUUCAAGGCCAGAUUCUGAGGGUCUAGGUCCUGCCCCUCCCCUGAGGUGGUAUCAGAGAAACUGCAGUCCUGGGCAGGUGACCAAGGCAAGAACUCAGCCCAGGGAGAAAUCUGGGACAGAUUCCUGAAACUGGAGGAGAAGUCGGAGACUCACUUGAAUGAACUAAGCAAAAAGCCAACUCGUAGACCUGGGGUGCAAGGGGGUGCGGAGCUAACUGCAUGCUGAGCCCAGGAGUGGCGGGCCCCAAACUCCCUGGUUCCACCUGCGCCUGCGGCGGGACGGGAUGUGUGCCAGGCACCCCCAGGCUUCCUUUCAGAGAGUUCAAGCCUAGCCUCUGUUACUCGUUGACUGAUGUUCCCUGUCUAAAAGCCUUCUUGACUUCUAACCCCACAUUUUGGGCUGAGUCAGCUGCCUUCUAAACUCCUUUUAGCACAGAACAGCUGGUCACUGUGCCCGGUCAGCUGAUGAGAGGAUCAACUUCACUGGUGGUCAAGGGUCUGGAUGCCCAGUCCCUGCAGUGGCAACGAGGCACACCCUGACCCUGGGGAUCACUUUUCGUGGAGAGGACAGGACAGACCAGGAUGUGGACACGUGCUUUGAAGUUACAGAGCCAGGCACUGUGAGACCGCAUCUCCGCCCCCGUAAGGAUGAGCAGCGUUUCACUCUGUAGCCCAGGCUGGAGUGCUCAACUCACUGCAACCUCCACCUCCCCAGCUAAAGUGAUCCUCCCACUUCAGCCUCCCGAGUCAUGGGACCACAGGCACGUGCCACCACACCCAGCUCAUUUUUCUGUAUUUUUGUAGAGAUGGGGUCUCGCCAUGUUGCCCAGCCUGGUCUUGAACUCCUGGCCUCAAGCAAUUCUCCUGCCUCAGUAUUGGGAAUUACAAGCAUGAGCCACAACACCCAGCUGAGAAAAUAUAUAUAAAUAUAUAUAUAUUUUAAUAAAAAAUAUUUUCUUUCUUUAGAGAGCAAAAAAUCAUCAGCUGAGAAUAUCUUAAUUCUUAGGAAAUAUACACUGAAGUCUCGAGGGCCACAGAGCCUUCAAAUCCCUCUCAAAUGAUGCAGAAAAGAUACGAAAAGAGAAAGAAAAAGAGAGUGGCCAGACGCAGUGGCUCAUGCCUAUAAUCCCAGUCAGGUGUGGUGGUGUGCACCUGUAGUCUCAUCUACUUGGGUGGCUGAGGUGGGAGGAUUGCUUUAGCCCAGGAGGCAG